GAAUAUUGGACAAUGGGGGGAACCCUGAUCCAGCCAUGCCGCGUGUGUGAAGAAGGCCUUUUGGUUGUAAAGCACUUUAAGCGAGGAGGAGGCUACUCUAGUUAAUACCUCGGGAUAGUGGACGUUACUCUCAGAAUAAGCACCGGCUCCCUCUGUGCCAGCAGCCGCGGGAAUACAGAGGGUGCAAGCGUUAAUCGGAUGUACUGGGCGGAAAGCGCGCGUAGGUGGCCAAUUAAGUCAAAUGUGAAAUACCCGAGCUUAACUUGGGAAUUGCAUUGGAUAAUGGUUGGCUAGAGGAUGGGAGAGGAUGGUAGAAUUCCAGGUGUAGCGGUGAAAUGCGUAGAGAUCUGGAGGAAUACCGAUGGCGAAGGCAGCCAUCUGGCCUAAUACUGACACUGAGGUGCGAAAGCAUGGGGAGCAAACA
rnacentral:rRNA from 1 species